UACGUAGGGUGCGAGCGUUAAUCGGAAUUACUGGGCGUAAAGCGUGCGCAGGCGGUUUGCUAAGACCGAUGUGAAAUCCCCGGGCUCAACUUGGGAAUUGCAGUGGAUACUGGCAGGCUGGAGUACGGUAGAGGAAGGUGGAAUUCCCGGUGUAGCAGUGAAAUGCGUAGAGAUCGGGAGGAACACCAGUGGCGAAGGCGGCCUUCUGGACCAAUACUGACGCUCAUGCACGAAAGCGUGGGGAGCAAACAGG
rnacentral:rRNA from 1 species